rnacentral:rRNA from 1 species
UACGUAGGUGGCAAGCGUUGUCCGGAUUUACUGGGUGUAAAGGGCGUGCAGCCGGGCUGACAAGUCAGAUGUGAAAUCCCGCGGCUCAACCGCGGAACUGCAUUUGAAACUGUCAGUCUUGAGUGCCGGAGAGGUCAUCGGAAUUCCUUGUGUAGCGGUGAAAUGCGUAGAUAUAAGGAAGAACACCAGUGGCGAAGGCGGAUGACUGGACGGCAACUGACGGUGAGGCGCGAAAGCGUGGGGAGCAAACAGG